rnacentral:rRNA from 1 species
UAUGUGAUCGUCUCUCGCAUAUCAAUAAGCGGAGGAAAAGAAACUAACAAGGAUUCCCCUAGUAACGGCGAGUGAAGCGGGAAGAGCUCAAAUUUGAAAUCUUAAAGGGUUUCCCUUUACGAAUUGUAGUUUAAAGAAGUGUUUUCUGUUGAGGUUUUGGUAAAAGUUCUUUGGAAUAGGACAUCAUAGAGGGUGAGAAUCCCGUAUUUGACCUUUACUUUCAACUUUGUGAUACACUUUCAAAGAGUCGGAUUGUUUGGGAAUGCAGUCCAAAAUGGGUGGUAAAUUUCAUCUAAAGCUAAAUAUUGGCGAGAGACCGAUAGCGAACAAGUACCGUGAGGGAAAGAUGAAAAGAACUUUGAAGAGAGAGUUAAACAGUACGUGAAAUUGUCAAAAGGGAAGCGUUUGACACCAGUGUUGUUUUUCUGAAAAUCAAUUAAAGAACUGUUUAUGCUAAGCUGUUUAGACUUUAUCAGCUAUCUGUUUAGUUUUGAGCUUUUCUUUAAUGCACUUUUCAGUUAACAAGUCAACAUCAAUUUCUUUUGCUGUAAAAAAGCUUGAGGAAGGUGGCUUGAGAUUCGUCUUAAGUGUUUAUAGCCUCUUAGCCUAUGCAGUCGGAGAGAUUGAGGUCUGCAGCGUAGAUCCUUCGGGGCUAAAUGCAUUUGUGCUAAGUUAUAGCAUUUUAUAGACAACUUGUUGACUAUGAUUUGUCUUGUAGCUUACUCGCUUAUGUUAUUUUACCUACGCUUAGGAUGUUGAGCGCAUGUCUCUCUCU